GUGUUUCUUCCCAUUUCCCCCCACUCUCCUCCUUCCCCGUUUGCCCUUCUCCUUCUUUUACACGUGCAUUUCCGUGUACACACGCAUGCAGUGUUUUUGGUUCCUCAUUUUGCAUGCGACUGGAGCCUGGCACGCUGAGAGCCAAAAUAGUCCGUGUCCGGCUCCGCUUUGGGUGUCAAACCGCCCGAGCAAAUAGGCACGGAGCACUCAGGAUUAGAAGAGAGAAAAGUACCGCUGAGCCGGAGCUCCUGGAAUUGACUGCCCGCCCGUAUAUACGGUCUGCGUGGGAAUGGAUGCUGCUUAUAUGCUUCGAGACUCAUACGCACCAUUGUGUGGAGGACUAAGUAGAGGAAACAUCGGCGGAAUUGCUAAGCAGAGCUUCUAGAAAGUAGCAUAUACCACUUCCACGUGCCUGUGCGCACGCGUCCUGCCGCCUCCGGCACAGAACAAACACGGCCGUACUUUCCCCGAUUGGCCACACGGGGGCAGCAGAGACUGCGGAAACUCCUUCCCAACCCGGCUGACGGCCCGCCGGGAACUGCGGCGGGGUUUCGUUUCUCUCUUUCCUUGGAUAGCAGAGGAAAGAAAUAACCACAGAAGAGGAAGGGGUCGGAGAAUGGGAGACGACGAAGAAAACCAAGGAAAACUUCGAUAGACACACACACUGUGUGAAGUGCUUAUGAAUACCUGUAAAUAAACAAAUAAGCAGCAAAAUCAUGUUCUAAUGCCUUUUUAGAAAAUAUUAUUACUUUUUUUUCAGCGAGCAUCUGAGGUGAUGAAAAAAACAUGGUAUCAACCAGACAGGCACACAGAGAAGCCACGAAUGGCCCUUAAAUGAGGUCGGGGAGGGGUGGCGUCAGGCUCAGCCCAUGUGAUCCCACAGCUGAAUUCCUUCCACAGCCGCCCCAUAGAGCCCCACAGCCGCCCCAUAGAGCCCCAUAGAGCCCCAUAGCCGCCCCAUAGAGCCCCAUAGAGCCCCAUAGAGCCCCAUAGAGCCCCACAGCCGCCCCAUAGAGCCCCAUAGAGCCCCAUAGAGUCCUAUAGAGCCCCAUAGAGCCCCAUAGAGCCCCACAGCCGCCCCAUAGAGCCCCACAGAGACCCAUAGAGCCCCAUAGAGCCCCACAGCCACCCCAUAGAGCCCCAUAGAGCCCCACAGCCGCCCCAUAGAGCCCCAUAGAGCCCCAUAGAGCCCCACAGCCGCCCCAUAGAGCCCCAUAGAGCCCCAUAGAGCCCUAUAGAGCCCCAUAGAGCCCCAUAGAGCCCCACAGCCGCCCCAUAGAGCCCCAUAGAGCCCCAUAGCCGCCCCAUAGAGCCCCAUAGAGCCCCAUAGAGCCCCAUAGCCGCCCCACAGAGCCCCAUAGAGCCCCAUAGAGCCCCAUAGAGCCCAAUAGCCGCCCCAUAGAGCCCCAUAGAGCCCCAUAGCCGCCCCAUAGAGCCCCAUAGAGCCCCAUAGAGCCCCAUAGCCGCCCCAUAGAGCCCCAUAGAGCCCCAUAGCCGCCCCAUAGCCGCCCCAUAGAGCCCCAUAGAGCCCCAUAGAGCCCCAUAGCCGCCCCAUAGAGCCCCAUAGAGCCCCAUAGCCGCCCCAUAGCCGCCCCAUAGAGCCCCAUAGCCGCCCCAUAGAGCCCCACAGAGCCCCAUAGAGCCCCAUAGCCGCCCCAUAGAGCCCCAUAGAGCCCCAUAGAGCCCCAUAGCCGCCCCAUAGAGCCCCAUAGAGCCCCAUAGCCGCCCCAUAGCCGCCCCAUAGAGCCCCAUAGAGCCCCAUAGAGCCCCACAGAGCCCCAUAGAGCCCCAUAGCCGCCCCAUAGAGCCACAUAGAGCCCCAUAGAGCCCCAUAGCCGCCCCAUAGAGCCCCAUAGAGCCCCAUAGAGCCCCAUAGCCGCCCCAUAGAGCCCCAUAGAGCCGCAUAGAGCCCCAAAGCCGCCCCAUAGAGCCCCAUAGAGCCCCAUAGAGCCCCAUAGAGCCCCAUAGCCGCCCCAUAGAGCCCCAUAGAGCCCCAUAGAGCCCCAUAGCCACCCCAUAGAGCCCCAUAGAGCCCCAUAGAGCCCCAUAGAGCCCCAUAGAGCCCCAUAGCCGCCCCAUUGAGCCCCAUAGAGCCCCAUAGCCGCCCCACAGAGACCCAUAGAGCCCCAUAGCCGCCCCACAGAGACCCAUAGAGCCCCAUAGAGCCCCAUAGAGCCCCAUAGCCGCCCCAUAGAGCCCCAUAGAGCCCCAUAGAGCCCCAUAGCCGCCCCAUUGAGCCCCAUAGAGCCCCAUAGCCGCCCCAUAGAGCCCCAUAGAGCCCCAUAGAGCCCCAUAGCCGCCCCAUAGAGCCCCAUAGAGCCCCAUAGAGCCCCAUAGAGCCCCAUAGCCGCCCCAUAGAGCCCCAUAGAGCCCCAUAGAGUCCCAUAGCCGCCCCAUAGAGCCCCAUAGAGCCCCAUAGAGCCCCAUAGCCGCGCCAUAGAGCCCCAUAGAGCCCCAUAGAGCCCCAUAGCCGCCCCAUAGAGCCCCAUAGAGCCCCAUAGCCGCCCCAUAGAGCCCCAUAGAGCCCCAUAGCCGCCCCAUAGCCGCCCCAUAGAGCCCCAUAGCCGCCCCAUAGAGCCCCACAGAGCCCCAUAGAGCCCCAUAGCCGCCCCAUAGAGCCCCAUAGAGCCCCAUAGAGCCCCAUAGCCGCCCCAUAGAGCCCCAUAGAGCCCCAUAGCCGCCCCAUAGAGCCCCAUAGAGCCCCAUAGAGCCCCAUAGCCGCCCCAUAGAGCCCCAUAGAGCCCCAUAGAGCCCCAUAGUCACCCCAUAGAGCCCCAUAGAGCCCCAUAGAGCCCCAUAGAGCCCCAUAGCCGCCCCAUUGAGCCCCAUAGAGCCCCAUAGCCGCCCCACAGAGACCCAUAGAGCCCCAUAGAGCCCCAUAGCCGCCCCACAGAGACCCAUAGAGCCCCAUAGAGCCCCAUAGAGCCCCAUAGCCGCCCCAUAGCCGCCCCAUAGAGCCCCAUAGAGCCCCAUAGCCGCCCCAUUGAGCCCCAUAGAGCCCCAUAGCCGCCCCAUAGAGCCCCAUAGACCCCAUAGAGCCCCAUAGCCGCCCCAUAGAGCCCCAUAGAGCCCCAUAGAGCCCCAUAGAGCCCCAUAGCCGCCCCAUAGAGCCCCAUAGAGCCCCAUAGAACCCCAUAGCCGCCCCAUAGAGCCCCAUAGAGCCCCAUAGAGCUUCAUAGCCGCCCCAUAGAGCCCCAUAGAGCCCCAUAGAGCCCCAUAGCCGCCCCAUAGAGCCCCAUAGAGCCCCAUAGAGCCCCAUAGCCGCGCCAUAGAGCCCCAUAGAGCCCCAUAGCCGCCCCAUAGAGCCCCAUAGAGCCCCAUAGAGCCCCACAGAGCCCCAUAGAGCCCCAUAGCCGCCCCAUAGAGCCCCAUAGAGCCCCAUAGCCGCCCCAUAGCCCCCCAUAGAGCCCCAUAGAGCCCCAUAGAGCCCCAUAGCCGCCCCACAGAGCCCCAUAGAGCCCCAUAGAGCCCCAUAGAGCCGCACAGAGCCCCAUAGAGCCUUAUAGCCGCCCCAUAGAGCCCCAUAGAGCCCCAUAGAGCCCCAUAGAGCCCCAUAGAGCCCCAUAGCCGCCCCAUAGAGCCCCAUAGAGCCCCAUAGAGCCCCAUAGAGCCCCAUAGCCGCCCCAUAGAGCCCCAUAGCCGCCACAUAGCCGCCCCAUAGAGCCCCAUAGAGCCCCAUAGAGCCCCAUAGAGCCCCAUAGCCGCCCCAUAGAGCCCCAUAUAGCCCCAUAGAGCCCCAUAGCCGCCCCAUAGAGCCCCAUAGAGCCCCAUAGCCGCCCCAUAGAGCCCCAUAGAGCCCCAUAGAGCCCCAUAGCCGCCACAUAGCCGCCCCAUAGAGCCCCAUAGAGCCCCAUAGAGCCUCAUAGAGCCCCAUAGAGCCCCAUAGAGCCCCAUAGAGCCCCAUAGCCGCCCCACAGAGCCCCAUAGAGCCCCAUAGAGCCCCAUAGACGCCCCAUAGAGCCCGAUAGAGCCCCAUAGAGUGCCAUAGCCGCCCCAUAGAGCCCCAUAGAGCCACAUAGAGCCCCAUAGCCGCCCCAUAGAGCCGCAUAGUGGCCUUUAGCCGCCCCAUAGAGCCCCAUAGAGCCCCAUAGAGCCCCAUAGCCGCCCCAUAGAGCCCCAUAGAGACCCAUAGAGCCCCAUAGCCGCCCCAUAGAACCCCAUAGAGCCCCAUAGAGCCCCAUAGCCGCCCCAUAGCCGCCCCAUAGAGCCCCAUAGAGCCCCAUAGAGCCUUUUAGCCGCCCCAUAGAGCCCCAUAGAGCCCCAUAGAGCCCCAUAGCCGCCCCAUAGAGCCCCAUAGAGCCCCAUAGAGCCCCAUAGCCGCCCCAUAGAGCCCCAUAGAGCCCCAUAGAGCCCCAUAGAGUCCCAUAGAGCCCCAUAGCCGCCCCAUAGAGCCCCAUAGAGCCCCAUAGAGCGCCAUAGAGCCCCAUAGCCGCCCCAUAGAGCCCCAUAGAGCCCCAUAGCCGCCCCAAAGAGCCCCAUAGAGCCCCAUAGAGCCCCAUAGCCGCCCCGUAGAGCCCCAUAGCCGCCCCAUAGAGCCCCAUAGAGCCCCAUAGCCGCCCCAUAGAGCCCCAUAGAGCCACAUAGAGCCCCAUUGAGCCCCAUAGCCGCCCCAUAGAGCCCCAUAGAGCCCCAUAGCCGCCCCAUAGAGCUCCAUAGAGCCCCAUAGUGCCCCAUAGAGCCCCGUAGAGCCCCAUAGAGCCACAUAGAGCCCCAUAGAGCUCCAUAGAGCCCCAUAGCCGCCCCAUAGAGCCCCAUAGAGCCCCAUAGAGCCACAUAGAGCCCCAUAGCCGCCCCAUAGAGCCCCAUAGAGCCCCAUAGAGCCCCAUAGCCGCCCCAUAGAGCCCCAUAGAGCCCCAUAGAGCCACAUAGCCGCCCCAUAGAGCCCCAUAGAGCGCCAUAGCCGCCCCAUAGAGCCCCAUAGAGCCCCAUAGAGCCCCAUAGCCGCUCCAUAGACGCCCCAUAGAGCCCCAUAGAGCCCCAUAGCCGCCCCAUAGAGCCCCAUAGAGCCCCAUAGAGCCCCAUAGAGCCCCAUAGCCGCCCAAUAGAGCCCCAUAGAGCCCCAUAGAGCCCUAUAGCCGCCCCAUGGGGUCACCCCACUGUUUCUGGGGCCCCAAGGUGCCAUCAUUGGGGUCCCAUGGGGUCACCCCACUGUUACUGCGGUCCCAUGGGGUCACCCCACUGUCAUUGGGGUCCCAGUGGUGCCAUCAUUGGGGUCCUAUGGGGUCACCCCACUGUCAUUGGGGUCCCAGAAGUGCCAUCACUGGGGUCCCAUGGGGUCACCCCACUGCCAUGACUGCAGCCCUAUUGCUGUCGCCCCACUGCCGCCGUUGUGACAUCGGUGGGAAAAGUCCCCGAGAAAUGGGAAUUUAAAGUGAAAGCAGAACCCAAACCCACGCGUUU
ensembl:lncRNA